rnacentral:misc_RNA from 1 species
GGGUAGUAUCAGUGAGUGGUGGCGUUGGCGGACAACGCAGUUGUGGGUUGUGGCCUUAUGGUCCAUACUCCAUAUCGUCUUUAUCACAAGUGCUGUGCGGGUCGUGCCGAGGUUUGAAAGCUGUCGGGUUUUCACUUUUCGUCGUACCCAAUCAUCCGAAAUUAAAACAAAGUUCAUCGCUGGCGUAUCCGUUGAGAAGGAGACGAAAAUAUGGCAACUGUGUCGCCCAGUGCAAAGGACACGAAUGAAAACAGGAGGAAAAGAGUGGUUCUUUUGUCUUCCUUGCCUCCUGAUUUUUUGAGAAUCAACACAACUCCAAAGCAGCUGCAACAAGAAGCGGCUGACCAACAAGCCGCCAUUGCUUUGCACCAUCAAUUCGUGGACCACAGGUUUUUUAAUACAGCUGGCCGUCUAAACAUAACUGUGGCACAGGCUAAACUAGUGAAAAGUUACAGUAUGAUGAGAAUGGACCCAUACGUUCGCCUAAGAGUUGGCCAUUGCAUAUACGAAACACAAACUGAUCCUAACGGAGGGAAAAAUCCCCAUUGGAACAAAGAAGUUCAAUGCGCUGUUCCCCAUGGUGUUAACUCCAUAUACAUUGAAAUAUACGAUGAACGUUCUUUUACAAUGGAUGAACUAAUAGCAUGGGCUCACAUUCCAAUUCCACAAAACGUCAUGGCAGGUGAAACAUGCGAAAAUUGGUACCCUCUAACUGGUAAACAAGGAGAAGGCAAAGAAGGACGGAUAAAUCUUGUAUUGAGUUACAUUAGCCUAGGACGAGGUUUGAAUCCGUGUGUAUUUGGGAACUCGAAUGUUUCUCCUCCUGUAAUGAUGAUCCCUUCAACAGCUUCAAACAUGUUUGGCCUACCCCAUUUUGAACCAGUGCCCGUUUAUACCCAACUAGCUGUUCCUCCUGUACACAAUAACCAAGAUCUGGCCGAAGUAAGUUGCCAGUCAGUUUAAUGAAAAAACACAAUGCUUGAUGAAUUGAUCUAACAGUUGAUGUUUGAGGAGGGAUGUGGAUUUUCAAUGCUAAUUUGGCAAAAAUAAACUUGAACAAAUGUUCCCGCAUGUGGAGAAAGAAACGAUUAAAUCUGUGUAUGAGAUGAGCCGAGGAGACAAGAAAGCAACGAUCAACUUU